rnacentral:misc_RNA from 1 species
AAGUCGUAACAAGGUUUCCGUAGGUGAACCUGCGGAAGGAUCAUUACCGCUCUCUCUUUUUUUUUAAUUUUGCUUCAGCGUGUGAAUGCCAGUGAAUCAACAAAUUGUUGUCUUUUUUGUGUUGGUGUGUGUGCAUUGUUUUGUGUUUGCUAGUUGGUUGUGUGUGAAUGUGUGAGAGUGAAAGAGUGCCAGUCACUCCAAUUUCAUUUUCACAAUUUGUGUGAACACACACAAACACACAACCAAUCAAACACAAAAGCAAAUGUGUGCCAACACUGUUUUUCAUUUUCAAACACAAAUCAAAACACAAACAAAACAUGUUUGCAAUCGUCAAAUUCAAAAAUCAAAAAAUCAAAAUUCAAAUCGAAUCACAACUCUUGACAAUGGAUAUCUUGGUUCUC